rnacentral:rRNA from 1 species
UACGGGGGGAGCAAGCGUUGUUCGGAUUUACUAGGCGUAAAGGGCGCGUAGGCGGCGUGACAAGUCACUUGUGAAAUCUCCGGGCUUAACCCGGAGCGGCCAAGUGAUACUGUCGUGCUAGAGUGCGGAAGGGGCUACUGGAAUUCUCGGUGUAGCGGUGAAAUGCGUAGAUAUCGAGAGGAACACCUGCGGCGAAGGCGGGUAGCUGGGCCGACACUGACGCUGAGGCGCGAAAGCCAGGGGAGCGAACGGG